rnacentral:rRNA from 1 species
GAGUUUGAUCAUGGCUCAGGAUAAACGCUAGCGGUGUGCAUUAUGCAUGCAAGUCGAACGGUGCUUCGAAAGGAGCGCAGUGGCAAACGGCUGAAUAACACGUAAGCAAUCUGUCCCAAAGUGGGGAAUAAUUCACCGAAAGGUGGACUAAUACCGCAUGUGGUAGUGGGGGUAGGUUCCCAUUACUAAAGCCUUCGGGCGCUUAGGGAGGAGCUUGCGACCCAUCAGGUAGUUGGUGGGGUAACGGCUCACCAAGCCGACGGCGGAUAGCUGGUCUGAGAGGAUGUCCAGCCAGACGGGGACUGAGACACGGCCUCGACUCCUACGGGAGGCAGCAGCAAGGAAUUUUGCGCAAUGGGCGAAAGCCUGACGCAGCAACACCGCGUGAGGGAAGACAGCCCUCGGGCUGUAAACCUCUUUUGUCAGGGAAGAAUAAUGACGGUACCUGGCGAAUAAGUCACGGCUAACUACGUGCCAGCAGCUGCGGUAAUACGUAGGUGGCAAGCGUUAUCCGGAUUCACUGGGCGUAAAGAGCGCGUAGGUGGUCCUUCAAGUCAGAUGUUAA